AAACUCUGUGGGCUGGGACAGAAACACUAAGGUGUUUCCCAUAGUUCUUAAUUCUUGGUGGCGCUUAAACUCCUGAAUAAAACUGGUCAACACAAGUGGUAUUAUGAUUAUUUUCUACAUUUAGAACUGGAAUUUUAUAUUUGCCCCAUUGAAGCUGAAGCUGAGUCUGCCAGGGUCCGAUGCGCUUUUCACUGCAUACAAAAUGCAUUUGGUUGAGACAUAUCAUCAGAGUUCAUAUUUAUUCAUGAAGCAAAAUAAAAGCAGCCUGCAAAGGACAAAUCGCACUAACCACCUGGCUGGCCUCGGCUCUCUUUGUGUUAUGAAAUUGACACAUAUGACUUGAGCUUUGGGAGUAAUGGUUAAAGUCGUUUUAAGAAUAAUGUUACAAUAUUAUCAGUGUUCAUGUUAUUCUUUACAAAUUGAGUUCUGUUAAUAUACAGAAUGCUCUAAAACAAUGCUCUACACAUUAGUGUUCUAUAAGCCAAUUUCCAGGCUCAUAUUUAUAUUUAUUUUAAUAACUUCUUCUUUUUUAGAGGAGAGGGGCCACUGAAAACUUCCCAGGACUUAAUUCACUUCCUAGAGGUAUGUUUUGUUUUCACAAGUACUCAGAGAGAUAAGAUCCCGUAGGAUGUGACUGGGGUGGUUGGAAAGGCUUCUGUAAGGUGUCAUUUGAGUAGGUGCAUUAUUGAGGUGACAGAUGGAGGGUGAGCAGGGUCGGAGUAUUUCAGAGGCAGAACAGGUGUGACGGCAGCUAUGCUAUGAACCUUGCAGCGUCCAUGUAGAUGAGGUGCUGAGCCGUAGUGGAGUGGAAGGCCGGGCAUCUCUUCAGAACCCUGCUGUUCUUUGUUUGCAAGUGUGAUGGUGCUGAGCCCACGCAGCCUUGGGAAGCAGUGGAAUGAUCCGAUGUUCUAAAAGGCUUUGACUCAACUGACACUAUAAAUGCUAAUGACAUUGACUGAGGUGCGUGCGGUACUCCAAGGGAGGGCAUUAGGUUUGGAGAGUGGCAAUCAAGCACUGUGCUUUUGCCCAUGUUGAAUGCAAAGGCCAGUGUCGGAAAUGGACAGAGAUUUGCGAGUUAUCAGUUUUCCUGUGCUUUUAUAAUGACUGACAUUCUGUCAAACAGAAACAGCAGGGAAGCUAUGAGAACCGAGAGGAUGUGGGUGAUGAGGUUUGAGGGGAAGAGAAUCGUUCAGUGCCGAAGCUAAGAGGAAGCCAGCUGGCUUCCCAUUAGGGCUAGGAAAGAUGCAGAGGGCCAUUUCACCUUGCGCUCAUGUUAUCCGCCAAUGACAAGGUAUUAAGCUGAUGACUGCCAGGUUCACCCUUCCAUCCAUAUUCUUGAUCUAGCUUACUACCAGGACUAGUUUUCUUCAUAAAUCACAUGUGUGUGUGCGUGCACGUGCGCGCCCUUAGAGGUCAGAAGGUGUCAGAUUUCCUGGAGCUGAAAUUGCAGGUGGUUGUGGCUGAGUGGCUCUGUGAGUUGAAUUUGAUUUCUCUGAAAGAACAGCACGUAUUCUUGCUAUCCCAGUCAAGCCUUGUCUGCAACCCCUGAUGUGGUGUUUUAAGGGGUCUUACGUGUUCUGUACUUUAGUGUGUCCUGACUGUCCCUUGCCCUUGUCUGUCCAUGGUUUUUUCUCCUCUCCAUAAUCUGUUCUCCAAAUUAUAAAAUGCAAGGUAACAGACAAAAUUAUAGUAAAAUUUAACAGUCCGGAUUGGUCUGCUCAUAUGGUGUGGAAUGUGUCUGGAGGUGAAUUCAGUCAUGGUUAGGUGGAAACAGCAGAUCUCUAGCCUAACCUCAUUCCCCAGGAUUCAUGACUCUUUCAGACUUGAGGAUCAUAAAAAGUAAGGUCCCACUUGUUUGACAAAUGCACACAUGUAUAUAAUGCAUUUUGAUGAUAUUUUUUCCCUCUCCCUCUGGAACUUGCUUUUUCUUUUGCUCAAGUCAUGGCCUUCCUAUUCUCAUGUCUCUUAUUUUUUAUAACCCACUUGUUAACUGGGGUUGCUUACGUGUGUACAGUUGUGAGGGUAUUUACUGAAUCAAGUUACCAGUGGCUACAUACUGAAGAAAAAUGGCUCCUCUCUAUUGUUGUGCCAGGGAAAUGUUAGUGAUCCCCAAAAACACACACAAGAGCCAAUCUGAUGCAACUCACAGCAGGGUCUUUUUCUACUGAAGCUAACUUGGGCCCCUCUCCCCCAAAGCACCACCAUCACACAGAAUGGUUUUGGUGAGGGGGGGGAGAGCCCUGAAGGUCUAUCUGGCAAGGCUUUAUAGUAAGCAGCAAGCAGGGAAGCAGUGCAAGCAUCUAAUUGGAAAGCUCCUGUGGCCUUUAACACAAUUGGCUGGUGCUGGGAGUCAUAUCAUAAAGUUAACUUCUGCUCCCCUCUGCAUUGGUGGUCAUUUGGGGAUUAGCAUAGAGACUGGAGCUAGGCUCAGGUUCUGAAGGGGGGCAACUUGGAAAUUAAUGCUAGAAUCCAGUUUGUUAGUUCAAGCUUAGGUCAGGCUCUCUAAAAUGGAGUCUGAAAUUAAAAGCUUUGGCAUCUCACUCUAACUGGAGAUCUUAUGAAGUGAUCUGGGGAUGCUGUCAAAAAGGAACAGGUAAUUUAUGAGGCUGUGGAUCCCAGGUCCAUGUGGCUCUACAGAAUAACUGGAGGUCUUUAGGUAUACAGGAGCCUCUCUGGGGAUUUUGUCUUAGGUCUGGGAGAAUUUCCGAUUCUAGCUAAACCCUAUGUUUCCUGUGACACAGUGAGGAACUUCUGGAGCUCCGAGGCUCAUCCUUAGCGUCUGCGUUAUUUUUCAACUGUGAAAGAAUUGGUAAUAUUUGUUUUCUAACCAUCCAGAAAACGUUGAUCUAAAAUAGUGAUGUUUCCCUCUCUACCAGGUUUUUGCUGCAGAGGGAUUAAAGCUUACUUCAAGUGUACAGUCAUUUUCAAAACAGGUAAUGCAUGUCGCCCUGUCCCAUGCUAGUGAUUCCAUAUGCCCACACUGGAAACACUUUACUGAUACAUAAAGGUAUACGAGUCGUAGGCUAGGAGCACAUUCAGAGAACAUUGUUAUGUUAUCCUGUUCUUUUGUUGUUCUGUUAUACUGUGUUAUGUUUGUGUGAUUAUAAAUAUUCCUUGGGGGUAGAAUGGAUCUAGCCCAGUGGAAGACCUUGUCUAGAAUGCACAGAGACAAAAUGUCACAAUAUUUAUGAUUUGUGGAAAUGAAGCCAUUCUAUAAAAUGGAAUUACUUAUUUUUAUAUCUUAAAAUAUAAGCACGGGGUGGGGGAGAUAUAGGUUGGGUAUGGUGUAACACUCAGGAGACUAAAACAGGUGGUCUCUAAGUGUUUGAGGCCAACCUGGUCUACAUAUGGAGUACCAGGUUAGCCAGGUCAGCCAGGGCAAUGUAUGAGAUGCUUUCUU
rnacentral:lncRNA from 1 species